CUGCAAUUUGGCAGCACAUACACUAAAACUGUAACCAUUCAGAGAAGAGGAUCAUGGCCCAUGUGCAAGGAUGGCACACAAAUUCAAGAAGUGCUCCACAGUUUU
rnacentral:snRNA from 1 species